rnacentral:rRNA from 1 species
UAGGGAAUCUUCGGCAAUGGACGAAAGUCUGACCGAGCAACGCCGCGUGAGUGAAGAAGGUUUUCGGAUCGUAAAACUCUGUUGUUAGAGAAGAACAAGGACGUUAGUAACUGAACGUCCCCUGACGGUAUCUAACCAGAAAGCCACGGCUAACUACGUGCCAGCAGCCGCGGUAAUACGUAGGUGGCAAGCGUUGUCCGGAUUUAUUGGGCGUAAAGCGAGCGCAGGCGGUUUCUUAAGUCUGAUGUGAAAGCCCCCGGCUCAACCGGGGAGGGUCAUUGGAAACUGGGAGACUUGAGUGCAGAAGAGGGGAGUGGAAUUCCAUGUGUAGAGGUGAAAUGCGUAGAUAUAUGGAGGAACACCAGUGGCGAAGGCGGCUCUCUGGUCUGUAACUGAAGCUGAGGCUCGAAAGCGUGGGGAGCAAACAGG